CAGAGGGACAGGACACUAUGCACCUUUUCGAUGAACACUGAAGAACACAUGAGACCUACGGAUUAGCAAAAAUAUCACAUCAGAACUUGAGACAUCUCAGAGGAGUGAAUACUACAUUCAUGUGAUCGACACUCGCACAAGACUGACCAGGGUCCUGUGGUUCGUGUGGGUGAGCACCCCUCCCACAUGAGAGCUCUAUCUCCCUGGUUCCUGAGGGUGUGAGUGAGGGCCCCUCGCCCAGCAGUUUGAGUCCAGUCUGCCUGCCCUGGUUCCUGGGGGUGAGCACCCUUCUUCUCCCAGUGGUCAGUGUCCUCAGGGUCCUGUGGGUGAGCGCCCCUCUCCCAGCAGUCCUCAGUGUCCUC